ACAAUUUAUUCUGAACAGGCAGCUGCUCGGCAGUUGGCCGGGCCUGCAAAAGCGGGCAGCAGAUCAAGCUUAUGUAAAAAAGCCUGCGGGACAGAC
rnacentral:ncRNA from 1 species